UCUUUUUGUUAAUAAUUUAAAGUUUGAUYUGCUCAAUGAGUAUUCUUAAAUAGCUGCGGUAUAUUGACCGUACAAAGGUAGCAUAAUCAAUAGUUUUUUAAUUAAAAGCUGGAAUGAAUGAUUUGAUGAGAUAUAAACUGUCUCAAAUUUAAUAGUAUUAUAAUUUUUUUUUUAGUAAAAAAACUAAAUUGAAUUUAAAAGACGAGAAGACCCUAUAGAUUUUUAUAUUUUUAUAAUUUAAUUUUAAUUUAAUUUAAAUAAUUUAUUUUAUAAAAAUAUUUGAUUGGGGAGAUUAUUAAAUUUAAUUAACUUUAAUUUUAUUAAACUAUGAUUGUUGAAUUAAUUAUUUUUUUAUAAAGAGUUUAAAAUAAAAUACCUUAGGGAUAACAGCGUAAUUUUUUUUGAGAGAUCUUAUUGAUAAAAAAGUUUGCGACCUCGAUGUUGAAUUAAGAUAAAAUUUUGAAGGAGAAUUUUAAAAUUUUUAGUCUGUUCGACUAUUAAAAUCUUACGUGAUCUGAGUUCARACCGGA
rnacentral:rRNA from 1 species